GCCGAGCGCCGGGCGCGCGGUCCUGCGAGGAGACGUGGCAGAGUGCGGCGCACCCGCGCCGGACCGGAAAGCCGGGGAAGUGGCUGAGGAGGGAGGGCUGCUAGCCAUGGCGACCAAGACGGCGGGCGUGGGGCGGUGGGAGGUAGUGAAGAAGGGUCGGCGGCCUGGGGCCGGCGCCGGCGCCGGCGGCCGAGGCGGCGGCAGGAAACGCAGGGCGCUCGGGGAAGCAAACGGAGUGUGGAAAUACGACCUGACCCCUGCAAUCCAGACCACAAGCACCCUUUAUGAGCGGGGCUUUGAGAAUAUCAUGAAGCGGCAGAAUAAGGAGCAGGUCCCACCCCCUGCUGUGGAGCCUAAGAAACCAGGGAACAAGAAGCAGCCAAAGAAGGUGGCAACUCCUCCCAACCAAAACCAGAAGCAGGGCCGCUUCCGCAGCCUGGAGGAAGCACUGAAAGCUCUGGAUGUGGCAGACCUGCAGAAGGAACUGGACAAGAGCCAGAGUGUGUUCUCUGGAAACCCAUCCAUAUGGUUGAAGGACCUGGCCAGCUAUCUCAACUACAAGCUACAAGCUCCUCUAAGUGAACCCACGCUGAGCCAGCAUACUCAUGGUAAGUCCUUCCAGCUUCCUCAAGCUCAGACAAGUUCAAAUAAAUUCAAAAAGGGUGGUAUAACAGAUCCCAGUGCCCCACACUGUCCUGAUUUCCAUGGGUGAUUUGGGCUGGUCUCAAAUCAUCGUGACUGUGAAUGUUUCUGGGCCUCAUUCUGUGAUCCUCCCUCUGGGCCUCCUCAGAGGAAGGAUCCCAG
rnacentral:sRNA from 1 species